UACGAAGGGUGCAAGCGUUACUCGGAAUUACUGGGCGUAAAGCGUGCGUAGGCGGUUCGUUAAGUCCGUUGUGAAAGCCCUGGGCUCAACCUGGGAAUUGCAGUGGAUACUGGCGAGCUAGAGUACGGUAGAGGAUGGUGGAAUUCCCGGUGUAGCGGUGAAAUGCGUAGAGAUCGGGAGGAACACCCGUGGCGAAGGCGGCCAUCUGGACCAGUACUGACGCUGAGGCACGAAAGCGUGGGGAGCAAACAGG
rnacentral:rRNA from 1 species